rnacentral:misc_RNA from 1 species
UGACUUCCUCCAAGGAUG